rnacentral:rRNA from 1 species
GACGAACGCUGGCGGCGUGCUUAACACAUGCAAGUCGAACGGAAAGGCCUCUUUCGGGGGGUACUCUAGUGGCGAACGGGUGAGUAACACGUGAGUAACCUGCCCUUGACUUUGGGAUAACUUCAUGAAACUGGGGCUAAUACCGGAUAGGAGCUCCUGCUGCAUGGUGGGGGUUGGAAAGUUUCGGCGGUUGGGGAUGGACUCGCGGCUUAUCAGCUUGUUGGUGUGGGAGUGGCUUACGAAGGCUGUGACGGGUAGCCGGCCUGGGAGGGUGACCGGCCCCAUUGGGACUGAGAGACGGCCCAGACUACUACGGGAGGCAGCAGUGGGGAAUAUUGCACAAUGGGUGGAAGCCUGAUGCAGCAACGCCGUGUGCGGGAUGACGGACUUCGGGUUGUAAACCGCUUUCGCUCAUGACGAAGCUUUGUGUGACGGUAGUGGGUAAAGAAGCACCGGCUAACUACGUG